GCUUAGCCCUAAACUUUAAUAGUUUAAAUAACAAAACUACUCGCCAGAACACUACAAGCAACAGCUUAAAACUCAAAGGACUUGGCGGUGCUUCACAUCCCCCUAGAGGAGCCUGUUCUAUAAUCGAUAAACCCCGAUUCACCCUACCAUCCCUUGCUCAGCCUAUAUACCGCCAUCUUCAGCAAACCUCAACAAGAGACUUAAAGUAAGCACAAACGCCCACGCAAAAACGUUAGGUCAAGGUGUAGCCCAUGAGAUGGGGAAAAAUGGGCUACAUUUUCUAUAUUAGAAAAUAUACGAUAACUCUUAUGAAAUUUAAGAGUCCAAGGAGGAUUUAGUAGUAAAUUAAGAAUAGAGUGCUUAAUUGAAUUAGGCCAUGAAGCAUGC
rnacentral:rRNA from 1 species